GGUACACAUAUUAAUUCAGCUUUAUUAUUUUUGUAAUUUGGAGAAAAUGAAUGGGUAUCCCAUUAAGGCAUAGAAAAUCCAUCAACAACACUCAGGUUCGGAUCAUCAAAUCUAUCAGAAGAAUUCAGAAGAGCAAAAGCACAUGGGGCCAAGGCGGCCGAGAUCGCAGCCACAAGAAACAAACACACAAACCGACAUCAACCGACCAACCGUUAGCGAAGCGAUCAAGCGAACAAUCCAAUCCCUGCAGAUAGAUGUAUGUACGAGAUUGGUCACCGGAGAUAUCAACUCAACCGACGCCGCCCGAAUCAGAGAACACAUCCUCCCGCGCGGUGGUGGUCACGGCAACGAGGUCCACCGUCAGGUCGAGCGUUUCAGUGAGUUCCAGCAAGCCGUACAUUAGCUCGGUGAUGGCGAGGUCUUCCACCCACGGAGAGUGGUCGUCCCCUCCCAGCACCUCCAGGAUCUCGGCGGCGGCGCUCAUGUGGACGCGGGCGGUCUCCAGCCGGUCGUGCACACGCUUGGCGAUCUCGGAGCCCUUUUGGAGCAGGAAGUGGACGAGCCACACGCGGGAGUCGAAGUCGUCGACGGAGUGGAGCGGCGGGGGGGCCC
rnacentral:lncRNA from 1 species